rnacentral:rRNA from 1 species
CGCUCGUAGUCGGAUUUCGGGGCGGGCCGACCGGUCUGCCGAUGGGUAUGCACUGGCCGGCGCGUCCUUCCACCCGGAGACCGCGCCUACUCUUAACUGAGCGGGCGCGGGAGACGGGUCUUUUACUUUGAAAAAAUCAGAGUGUUUCAAGCAGGCAGUCGCUCUUGCAUGGAUUAGCAUGGGAUAAUGAAAUAGGACUCUGGUGCUAUUUUGUUGGUUUCGAACACCGGAGUAAUGAUUAACAGGGACAGUCAGGGGCACUCGUAUUCCGCCGAGAGAGGUGAAAUUCUCAGACCAGCGGAAGACGAACCACUGCGAAAGCAUUUGCCAGGGAUGUUUUCACUGAUCAAGAACGAAAGUUAGGGGAUCGAAGACGAUCAGAUACCGUCGUAGUCUUAACCAUAAACCAUGCCGACUAGGGAUUGGAGGAUGUUCCAUUUGUGACUCCUUCAGCACCUUUCGGGAAACUAAAGUCUUUGGGUUCCGGGGGGAGUAUGGUCGCAAGGCUGAAACUUAAAGGAAUUGACGGAAGGGCACCACCAGGAGUGGAGCCUGCGGC